rnacentral:rRNA from 1 species
CAAGUACAGAGAGCUUGCUCUCAAGAAGUUAGCGGCGGACGGGAUGAGUAACACGUGGGUAACCUGCCCAUAAGACUGGGAUAACUCCGGGAAACCGGGGCUAAUACCGGAUAAUAUUUUGAACUGCAUGGUUCGAAAUUGAAAGGCGGCUUCGGCUGUCACUUAUGGAUGGACCCGCGUCGCAUUAGCUAGUUGGUGAGGUAACGGCUCACCAAGGCAACGAUGCGUAGCCGACCUGAGAGGGUGAUCGGCCACACUGGGACUGAGACACGGCCCAGACUCCUACGGGAGGCAGCAGUAGGGAAUCUUCCGCAAUGGACGAAAGUCUGACGGAGCAACGCCGCGUGAGUGAUGAAGGCUUUCGGGUCGUAAAACUCUGUUGUUAGGGAAGAACAAGUGCUAGUUGAAUAAGCUGGCACCUUGACGGUACCUAACCAGAAAGCCACGGCUAACUACGUGCCAGCAGCCGCGGUAAUACGUAGGUGGCAAGCGUUAUCCGGAAUUAUUGGGCGUAAAGCGCGCGCAGGUGGUUUCUUAAGUCUGAUGUGAAAGCCCACGGCUCAACCGUGGAGGGUCAUUGGAAACUGGGAGACUUGAGUGCAGAAAGAGGAAAGUGGAAUUCCAUGUGUAGCGGUGAAAUGCGUAGAGAUAUGGAGGAACACCAGUGGCGAAGGCGACUUUCUGGUCUGUACUGACCUGAGGCGCGAAAGCGUG